AUGCACGAAACAUGCAAAAGAUGGUGGGGUGACCCCGGAUUACCUGGUUCCCACGGGUCGAUGGCAUGGCAAACGAGGAGGAAUGCGCAAGGAACAACUCGGACACGAUGCAAACACGGGCAUCUCAUACAACACAUGCAUACGUCCAUGCACGGUCGUCUCGGAGUUAUACCUUCGAAGCAUGCAUUUACAAAGCGGAUCAAGUUCAUAGUGGAGGUAGUGCUACUCGGCGUCGGUAGAGGAAGUAGCGUUCACGUUCAGGAAGCAGUUUACGAUGAUGGUAGUCGAACUUGUUGUUCCGAGGGAUACUUGGCGGUCUUGGUCUUGGCGUCCGUAGACAUACAUGACAAUCGUAGUAGUACUAUGCGUCGGUCGUCGUGGAACUUUGAAUAA
rnacentral:rRNA from 1 species